GUUGUAUGGUUAAGUGACUAAGCGUACACGGUGGAUGCCUUGGCAGUCAGAGGCGAUGAAAGACGUAGUAACUUGCGAUAAGCCCAGAUUAGGUAGUAACAACCAUUUGAGUCUGGGAUUUCUGAAUGGGGAAACCCACGUGCAUAAGCACGUAUCCUUACCUGAAUACAUAGGGUAAGGAGGCGAACCGGGGGAACUGAAACAUCUAAGUACCCCGAGGAAAAGAAAUCAACCGAGAUUCCGAAAGUAGCGGCGAGCGAAAUUGGACUAGCCCUUAAGCUUUACACGCGUUAGACGAACGGUCUGGAAAGUCCGACGAUACAGGGUGAUAGUCCCGUAGUUGACGACGUGUGUUCAGUGAAAUCGAGUAGGGCGGGACACGUGAUAUCCUGUCUGAAUAUGGGGGGACCAUCCUCCAAGGCUAAAUACUACUGACUGACCGAUAGUGAACCAGUACCGUGAGGGAAAGGCGAAAAGAACCCCUGUGAGGGGAGUGAAAUAGAACCUGAAACCGUGUACGUACAAGCAGUAGGAGCACCUUCGUGGUGUGACUGCGUACCUUUUGUAUAAUGGGUCAGCGACUUAUAUUCAGUGGCAAGGUUAACCAUCUAGGGGAGCCGUAGGGAAACCGAGUCUUAACUGGGCGUUCAGUCUCUGGAUAUAGACCCGAAACCAGGUGAUCUAGCCAUGGGCAGGUUGAAGGUUGAGUAACAUCAACUGGAGGACCGAACCGACUAAUGUUGAAAAAUUAGCGGAUGACUUGUGGCUAGGGGUGAAAGGCCAAUCAAACCUGGAGAUAGCUGGUUCUCCCCGAAAGCUAUUUAGGUAGCGCCUCGGACGAAUACUACUGGGGGUAGAGCACUGUUAAGGCUAGGGGGUCAUCCCGACUUACCAACCCUUUGCAAACUCCGAAUACCAGUAAGUACUAUCCGGGAGACACACGGCGGGUGCUAACGUCCGUCGUGGAGAGGGAAACAACCCAGACCGCCAGCUAAGGUCCCAAAUUACUACUAAGUGGGAAACGAUGUGGGAAGGCUCAGACAGCCAGGAUGUUGGCUUAGAAGCAGCCAUCAUUUAAAGAAAGCGUAAUAGCUCACUGGUCGAGUCGGCCUGCGCGGAAGAUGUAACGGGGCUAAGUAGUAAACCGAAGCUGCGGCAAUAUACUUUUGUAUAUUGGGUAGGGGAGCGUUCUGUAAGCGGUUGAAGGUGUGUGGUAACGCAUGCUGGACGUAUCAGAAGUGCGAAUGCUGACAUGAGUAACGAUAAAGGGGGUGAAAAACCUCCUCGCCGGAAGACCAAGGGUUCCUGUCCAACGUUAAUCGGGGCAGGGUAAGUCGACCCCUAAGGCGAGGCCGAAAGGCGUAGUCGAUGGGAAACGGGUUAAUAUUCCCGUACUUCUUACAAUUGCGAUGGGGGGACGGAGAAGGCUAGGUGGGCCUGGCGACGGUUGUCCAGGUUCAAGUGCGUAGGCUUAAGAGUUAGGUAAAUCCGGCUCUUUUUAAGGCUGAGACACGACGUCGAGCACCUACGGGUGUGAAGUCAUUGAUGCCAUGCUUCCAGGAAAAGCCUCUAAGCUUCAGAUUGUAAGGAAUCGUACCCCAAACCGACACAGGUGGUCGGGUAGAGAAUACCAAGGCGCUUGAGAGAACUCGGGUGAAGGAACUAGGCAAAAUGGUACCGUAACUUCGGGAGAAGGUACGCUCUUGAUGGUGAAGUCCCUUGCGGAUGGAGCUGACGAGAGUCGCAGAUACCAGGUGGCUGCAACUGUUUAUUAAAAACACAGCACUGUGCAAAAUCGUAAGAUGACGUAUACGGUGUGACGCCUGCCCGGUGCCGGAAGGUUAAUUGAUGGGGUUAGACUUCGGUCGAAGCUCUUGAUCGAAGCCCCGGUAAACGGCGGCCGUAACUAUAACGGUCCUAAGGUAGCGAAAUUCCUUGUCGGGUAAGUUCCGACCUGCACGAAUGGCGUAAUGAUGGCCACGCUGUCUCCACCCGAGACUCAGUGAAAUUGAAAUCGCUGUGAAGAUGCAGUGUACCCGCGGCUAGACGGAAAGACCCCGUGAACCUUUACUACAGCUUGGCACUGAACAUUGACCCUACAUGUGUAGGAUAGGUGGGAGGCUUUGAAGCACGUACGCCAGUAUGUGUGGAGCCGUCCUUGAAAUACCACCCUUGUAGUGUUGAUGUUCUAACGUCGACCCCUUAUCGGGUUGCGGACAGUGCCUGGUGGGUAGUUUGACUGGGGCGGUCUCCUCCCAAAGAGUAACGGAGGAGCACGAAGGUGGGCUAAUCACGGUUGGACAUCGUGAGGUUAGUGCAAUGGCAUAAGCCCGCUUGACUGCGAGAAUGACAAUUCGAGCAGGUGCGAAAGCAGGUCAUAGUGAUCCGGUGGUUCUGAAUGGAAGGGCCAUCGCUCAACGGAUAAAAGGUACUCCGGGGAUAACAGGCUGAUACCGCCCAAGAGUUCAUAUCGACGGCGGUGUUUGGCACCUCGAUGUCGGCUCAUCACAUCCUGGGGCUGAAGUCGGUCCCAAGGGUAUGGCUGUUCGCCAUUUAAAGUGGUACGCGAGCUGGGUUUAGAACGUCGUGAGACAGUUCGGUCCCUAUCUGCCGUGGGCGUUGGAAGAUUGAAGGGGGCUGCUCCUAGUACGAGAGGACCGGAGUGGACGAACCUCUGGUGUUCGGGUUGUGUCGCCAGACGCAUUGCCCGGUAGCUAAGUUCGGAAUCGAUAACCGCUGAAAGCAUCUAAGCGGGAAGCGAGCCCUGAGAUGAGUCUUCCCUGAUACUUUAAGUAUCCUAAAGGGUUGUCGGAGACUACGACGUUGAUAGGUCAGGUGUGUAAGUGCUGUGAGGCAUUGAGCUAACUGAUACUAAUUGCCCGUGAGGCUUAACCAUACAACACCCAAGGGGUUU
rnacentral:rRNA from 1 species